AUCGCUUCUCGGCCUUUUGGCUAAGAUCAAGUGUAGUAUCUGUUCUUAUCAGUUUAAAAUACAGAGGAGGGAAAUGAGCAAAGAAAGAGGAUGCUCCCUCUAUUUCAAAAACUUCUGUUUAUUUCCUAACCAUUU
rnacentral:snRNA from 1 species